CUCCGAAGUUAAUCAGCUGCGAGCUAUCUUAGUACUUGGAUGGGAGACCUCCUGGGAACCGUUAGUGGUGUAAGCC
rnacentral:rRNA from 1 species